UCGAGCGUAGCAAAUGAUUGGCGCCAGCGGAUUUCUCGGGUCAGCCAAAAGCCGGCUGUUGCCGGCCUCGGUGCCGUUCCGGUUUUUCGUC
rnacentral:tRNA from 1 species